ensembl:lncRNA
AUUGAUCAUGUAGUAAAUCAUGGUCACUCAAUGAGAGAGGCUGGUCAGAGAGUGCAGCCAAAUCUGCAACGCUCUACAGUGGCAUCUAUUGUUAGAGUUUUCCGGCAAACCAACAGGACUCAACGGUUACCUCACACAGGAGGGAGAGGACGGAUGUUCACUGAUGUGCAGGAAACUGCCAUUGUUGAUAUGGUCAUCAGAAACAAUGGGAUAAAACUCACUGAGAUUAGACACAGAGUCUUGGCAGACAACGUUACUUUCGCAAAUAUUCACAGUGUAAGCAUAACAACAAUUUCUAGAGUCCUGAAAAAACAUCAGGUCAGGAUGAAACAGUUGUACACUGUGCCUUUUGAGAGGAACUCUGAACAUGUCAAGCAACUCAGGAACCAGUAUGUCCAGGAUGAGCUGGAUGACGCUGCAGAGGUUUGGAAUACACCAUCAGGCCAUCAGAAAACAUCAAUAUCCCCAGUGGUCGGCUAACGUACCGUAUACAUUACCUGAGCUCAAAGGGACAAGAGACUUCCUUUGCCCCACUGAAGAAGAACAUGUUGAACUGUUUAAAAACGAGUAUGUUUUUCCACUGACCGAACCAUGUGAUCCAGAUGUAUAUGAACUGUGCAAUAUCCUUAUGAACCCCAUCUGACUCCACCAACAGACCCAUAUCAGGCUGUGAACUUGUACAUACAUGUAAGAGAGUCCAUCAUGGCAUCAGUGUAAAACACAUGCACUGCAGCAGAGAACAUUUCUCAAAAUUGACCUGUGCUAUAUGUGAGAAA